UUGAAUGGCCGCGGUAUUUUGACCGUGCUAAGGUAGCAUAAUCAUUAGUUUUUUAAUUGAAAGCUGGAAUGAAGGGUUGGAUGAAAAAAAAUCUGUCUCUAUUAAAUUAAAAUAGAAUUUUAUUUUUAAGUUCAAAAGCUUAAAUUAUUUUAAAAGACGAGAAGACCCUUUAGAGUUUUAUAAUUUUAAUUUUGUUUUUAUUUGGUAUUAAUUUAAAAAUAAAAAUGAAAUUAUUUAGUUGGGGUGAUUUAAAAAUUUAAUAAACUUUUUUUUAUUUAAAUAUAAAUUUAUAGAUAAUUGAUCCAAUAUUUUUGAUUAUAAGAUAAAAUUACCUUAGGGAUAACAGCGUAAUUUUAUUAGAGAGUU
rnacentral:rRNA from 1 species